rnacentral:rRNA from 1 species
UCGGGUUGAUUCUCCGGAUAAAUAUAGCUGGGGGUGGAGGAGGGAGUCGUAGGUGUGGCUAGAUCCCAAAGGACGAUCCCAAAACCAGGAAGCAAAAGCCGCCGCGUUCUACCCCCUCUCCCAGUUCCCUUGGCACUUCACCAAGUUGCAGUGGUUCCCCAAGCCGAAGUAGAGGGGCCUGCUGCCGCCGCUCCUGGAAAAGCAGGUGGUCAGGCGGUAGUUCAGGCUGCCGAUGGCGUCGGAGUUGCUCUUGCUGCGGCAGCUCAAGCUCUAUUAGUGGCCGCUGCUGCCUGCGUGGUUCCGGAGGCUGCAGUGGCGUGGUCCUCCUCCCCGCGAGAGGCCGCCGAGGGCGGGACCGCUUCCGCCACCACUGGCGCCCCCGGCGCCGCCGAUACCUCCGCCGCCGCCACCGAUGCCGCCACCGCCACCACCGAUGCCUCCGCCACCACCGCCGAUGCCGCCGCCACCACCGCCGAUGCCACCGCCACCGAUACCUCCGCCGCCACCGCCGCCGGCACCCACGAUGUUCACGCCGCUUCUACCGGUGUAGAGGUCCCUGACGGGGGUCCCGCCGCCACCGCCGCCGCCGAUGCCGCCACCACCGAUGCCUCCACCACCGCCGCCGCCGGCACUCACGAUGUUCACGCCGCUCCUCCCGGUGUAGAGGUCCCUGACGGGGGUCCCGCCGCCGCCGCCGCCGAUGCCUCCGCCACCGCCGGCACCGCCACCGCCGCCGCCACCGCCGACGAAGAGGACGCCGCUCAGGCCGGUGAAGAGGGCGCUCACGGGGUUGUUCCGGGUGAUCCGCCGUGUCGAGAAGUCUAGACUCACGGGGCAAAUGGGAACGAGGAAAUGGAUGGAGGACUAAGACGUCGUUCAGUAUGGGAUAUGGAUAGUCAUGAUCAUAAUCAGCGGCAUCGCAAAGGGGGACGACGAGCUACGCUCGAACCAAGGUCUUCUUAACGACCACCACACAAGCAAUUCUAGGUUCAAUAAAACGACAGAGAGACACUACUCCUGUGUCUAGAUAGAUACACAACCUACCUGAUUCAAUAGCUUCAGUUCAAACCACAGAACUCUAACUAGAUACUAGAACGUACAGAUAACAAAUAGAAUGUAUAGACGGUACGAACUUUCACAACUAAGACUAUAAGAUAAGAUCCAAUCACCACCUAAUAAAACCUUAGGACAAGAGGGUAAAGAUACGCUAAGGUAACCGCAAAACUAUCGCCAUACUAAGCGUUCAAACUACGAAGUGCAAGUUGUCCAAGUACCAAGAUUUAUAAGUUGUCCAGGUAAGAAUAUACAUGGACACGGUGACACGACAAAUCAUCUAAGAAGAGUA